GGCUCCAUAGUUCAGUUGGUUAGAACAUCCGCCUGUCACGCGGAAGGUCGCCGGUUCGAGUCCGGCUGGAGUCGCCA
rnacentral:tRNA from 1 species